rnacentral:rRNA from 1 species
CAGUCGCCACGGUAACACGAAGGGGGCUAGCGUUGCUCGGAAUCACUGGGCGUAAAGGGUGCGUAGGCGGGUCUUUAAGUCAGGGGUGAAAUCCUGGGGCUCAACUCCAGAACUGCCUUUGAUACUGAAGAUCUUGAGUUCGGGAGAGGUGAGUGGAACUGCGAGUGUAGAGGUGAAAUUCGUAGGUAUUCGCAAGAACACCAGUGGCGAAGGCGGCUCACCGGCCCGAUACUGACGCUGAGGCACGGAAGCGUGGGGAGCAAAUGGGAUUAGAUACCCGCGUAGUCCCUGUCUCUUAUAC